rnacentral:rRNA from 1 species
UACAGAGGGGCCAGCGUUAUUCGGAAUUAUUGGGCGUAAAGAGCUCGUAGGCGGUUUGUCGCGUCUGCUGUGAAAAUCCAGGGCUUAACCCUGGACCUGCAGUGGGUACGGACAGACUAGAGUGCGGUAGGGGAGAUCGGAAUUCCUGGUGUAGCGGUGAAAUGCGCAGAUAUCAGGAGGAACACCGAUGGCGAAGGCAGAUCUCUGGGCCGUAACUGACGCUGAGGAGCGAAAGCGUGGGAGCGAACAGG